UGAGACCGGCUUUUUGGGAUUCGCUCCACCUUACGGUAUCGCAGCCCUCUGUACCGGCCAUUGUAGCAUGCGUGAAGCCCAAGACAUAAGGGGCAUGAUGAUUUGACGUCAUCCCCACCUUCCUCCGAGUUGACCCCGGCAGUCUCCCAUGAGUCCCCGGCAUAACCCGCUGGCAACAUAGGACGAGGGUUGCGCUCGUUGCGGGACUUAACCCAACAUCUCACGACACGAGCUGACGACAACCAUGCACCACCUGUGUACGAGUGUCCAAAGAGAACCCCGUCUCGGGGGCUUUCUCGUACAUGUCAAGCCUUGGUAAGGUUCUUCGCGUUGCAUCGAAUUAAUCCGCAUGCUCCGCCGCUUGUGCGGGCCCCCGUCAAUUCCUUUGAGUUUUAGCCUUGCGGCCGUACUCCCCAGGCGGGGCACUUAAUGCGUUAGCUGCGGCACGGAACUCGUGGAAUGAGCCCCACACCUAGUGCCCAACGUUUACGGCAUGGACUACCAGGGUAUCUAAUCCUGUUCGCUCCCCAUGCUUUCGCUCCUCAGCGUCAGUUGCGGCCCAGAGACCUGCCUUCGCCAUCGGUGUUCCUCCUGAUAUCUGCGCAUUCCACCGCUACACCAGGAAUUCCAGUCUCCCCUACCGCACUCUAGUCUGCCCGUACCCGAUGCAAGCCCGAGGUUGAGCCUCGGGAUUUCACACCAGACGCGACAGACCGCCUACGAGCUCUUUACGCCCAAUAAUUCCGGACAACGCUUGCGCCCUACGUAUUACCGCGGCUGCUGGCACGUAGUUAGCCGGCGCUUCUUCUGCAGGUACCGUCACUUGCGCUUCUUCCCUGCUGAAAGAGGUUUACAACCCGAAGGCCGUCAUCCCUCACGCGGCGUCGCUGCAUCAGGCUUGCGCCCAUUGUGCAAUAUUCCCCACUGCUGCCUCCCGUAGGAGUCUGGGCCGUGUCUCAGUCCCAGUGUGGCCGGUCGCCCUCUCAGGCCGGCUACCCGUCGACGCCUUGGUAGGCCAUCACCCCACCAACAAGCUGAUAGGCCGCGAGCCCAUCCCCCACCGAAAAACUUUCCAACCCACACCAUGCGAUGCGAGCUCAUAUCCGGUAUUAGACCCCGUUUCCAAGGCUUAUCCCGAAGUGGAGGGCAGGUUGCUCACGUGUUACUCACCCGUUCGCCACUGAUCCACCCAGCAAGCUGGGC
rnacentral:rRNA from 1 species